AAUGAAUUGCCUGAUUAAAGGAUUACCUUGAUAGGGUAAAUAAUGUAAUAAUAUUACAUUCAUUA
rnacentral:tRNA from 1 species